rnacentral:rRNA from 1 species
UCGAACGGGAAAUAUUUCAUUGAGACUUCGGUGGAUUUGAUCUAUUUCUAGUGGCGGACGGGUGAGUAACGCGUGGGUAACCUGCCUUAUACAGGGGGAUAACAGUCAGAAAUGGCUGCUAAUACCGCAUAAGCGCACAGAGCUGCAUGGCUCAGUGUGAAAAACUCCGGUGGUAUAAGAUGGACCCGCGUUGGAUUAGCUUGUUGGUGGGGUAACGGCCCACCAAGGCGACGAUCCAUAGCCGGCCUGAGAGGGUGAACGGCCACAUUGGGACUGAGACACGGCCCAGACUCCUACGGGAGGCAGCAGUGGGGAAUAUUGCACAAUGGGGGGAACCCUGAUGCAGCGACGCCGCGUGAAGGAAGAAGUAUCUCGGUAUGUAAACUUCUAUCAGCAGGGAAGAUAGUGACGGUACCUGACUAAGAAGCCCCGGCUAACUACGUGCCAGCAGCCGCGGUAAUACGUAGGGGGCAAGCGUUAUCCGGAUUUACUGGGUGUAAAGGGAGCGUAGACGGUGUGGCAAGUCUGAUGUGAAAGGCAUGGGCUCAACCUGUGGACUGCAUUGGAAACUGUCAUACUUGAGUGCCGGAGGGGUAAGCGGAAUUCCUAGUGUAGCGGUGAAAUGCGUAGAUAUUAGGAGGAACACCAGUGGCGAAGGCG